ensembl:lncRNA
AAACUUUUCUUCAAAACAGCCUGUUGACUCAGGAGCUAGAAGACUGCUCCUGUUGAUUGUAACAGGAUGUGAAGGUCUCAAACCAUGUAGUACUUUUUCACCUUCCCUUAGAAUGAAAAGUUCAUUUUUCAAAGAUGUUGAAGGUGUGGAUAGCAUCCAGCCUGGGUAAGAGCCGUAGAAUCACAGUGGUUGAAAAGGAUCUGUGGAGGUCAUCUCAUCCAAACUCUUCCACAAGCCCAAUCUAAGGCUGCUGAGGGCCAUGUUCAGAUGGAUUUUUAAUAUCUUCAAGGCAGGAAUUUAUCUCCAGGCAGCCUGGUCCAGAGUCUGAUGACUCUUGUGGUGACUUUUUCCUUUAUAUUCAAAGCAAAUUUUCCAUCUUGUAUAUUUUGUCACUUAUCCUAUCUCUGUGCAACCCGAAGGAGUAUAUUGUUCCAUCUUCUUUGUAUCAUCAUGCAGUUGUAGGUAUCAGUGCCACUUCCCAAAGUAGAGCAAAAGCAGCUCCCUCAGCUUCUCCAUUUAUUUCCUGUGUUCCAACAUACAGACUAUCUUGGCAUCUCUGCUAAGACAUACCAAUAUGUCAGUGAUUUUCUUUGGUCAAAAUGGUAAAUAAGAAACAGUCCAAGUGCUGUGGACUUCAAGUGUAAGGAACAGGAUGAGGUCAUUGUUGUAUGCAUG